rnacentral:rRNA from 1 species
UGGGUUCAGAACGUCGUGAGACAGUUCGGUCCCUAUCUGUUGUGGGCGUUAGAAAUUUGAGAAGCUCUACCUCUAGUACGAGAGGACCGAGGUGGACAAACCUCUAGUGAACCUGUUGUGGCGCCAGCUGCAUCGCAGGGUAGCUACGUUUGGCAGAGAUAAGCGCUGAAAGCAUCUAAGCGCGAAGCUCCCCUCAAGAUGAGAUCUCCCUUAAGGGCCGUUCAAGACUAGGACGUCGAUAGGCUGCAAGUGUAAAGGCAGUAAUGUCAAAGCUGAGCAGUACUAAUUGCCCGUGAGCUUUUUUUAA